rnacentral:lncRNA from 1 species
UUGAGGGUCAAUUGCACAAUUUGUCCCAACCUUUGCACCAUUUUUACUUUUGUCCCUAAUAUUUUGUCUUUUACAAUCAAGUUUUCACUUCUUCUUGAUUUUAUAGCGAUUAUGUCUCAACUGUUAAAUCUAUGUGAUUUCGCAGUUUCUCACUUUAGUACCCUAUGGUUUAAAGUGUAUUAAUUUUUCUCCUUAUUUUGGGAGGGUUGUGGGGCCUAUAUUUAAAUUUUUUUUUUAUGAAUUAAUCACAUAUUGAUUCCAACCAUAAUUUUAAUG